rnacentral:lncRNA from 10 species
GCUGGUCUCAAACUCCUGACCUCAGGUGAUUUGCCCGCCUCAGCAUUCCAAAGUGCUGGGAUUACGGGCGUGAGCCACCAUGCCCAGCCUUAGUUAUUUUUUUAAAGAUAGUUUUGACAUUUGGGAUUGAUCCACUGCUGCCUGAAAACACACAGUCUUUGUGCACAUGCCUGGCAGUGUGGCUUUCUGACAGGUGCCAGCGCCUGAGCUUGGUGGUGCCUGGCAGUGUGGCUUUCUGACAGGUGCCCAGGACCUGUGUUCAGUGGUCGAGGAAAAUUUCCCUAAGGAGCAAACACCCCUGAGGCCACUGCCACAGGAGCAUGAACUCCAAACCCGCGGUGCAGAGAGGCUCAAGGGGCAAGACGCUGCGUUUCAGAAGAUCUACGAUGCGACACUCUCAGUGUGCACCACAGCAUUUGGUCAGAUAUUAAUCUCAGGCCAGGAGCUGAAGCCUCUCACCCGACAGGUCAUCUCGGCUGGUCGCGGGGGCUCAAGCCUGUAAUCCCAGCACUCUGGGAGGCCAAGGUGGGUGGAUCACCUGAGGUCAGGAGUUUGAAACCAGCCUGGCCAAUAUGGCGAAACCUCGUCUCUACUAAAAAUACAAAAAUUAGGCAGGAGUGGUGGCACAUGCCUGUAGUCCCAGCUACUUGGGGGGCUGAGGCAAGGAGGAUGGCUUGAACCUGGGAGGUGGAGGUUGCAGUGAGCCAGGACAGUGCCACUGCAUUUCAGCCUGGACGACAGAUUGAGACUCUGUCUCAAAAAAAUAAAUAAAUAAAAUAGAAUUUACUAUCACUUCCUACUUGACAGAGCGCAACACCAAACCCAGAACCAUCGCCAGGCAGGCCGGAGCACAGCGUGCAAACUCACACCCGAUCAAUUAUCCAGAUGGUUUAGGCAGCGUUCAGUGUCACGCAGCAUAGACACCUGCCUUUUGAGGGGCAGCACUGGCCUCACUGGCCCUCUGACCCUCCCCACAUUUCCCCGUUAAUAAAGCAUGGAAAGGAACAGGGCAAGGGAGAGGACGGAGCAGGCAGCAUGGAGGAAUUUGCUCCAAUGCGCCCAGUCCGGGGAUGGAAGGAGGGUCUGGGAUCUGGCCUGCGCUUUUGCUCACACACAGGACACACUACAGGGGCUGUGGGGAACUGUCAAGGAUGUGGCUGACUCAGCAGCCCCAAGGUGUGCCUUCAUGCAGACGGGCUCACUUGAGGACGAGUAACAGAUGUCAACAUGAAUCCCCGUGGAAACAAACGACAGCCACUGGAACAAGCAGCAGCAGCCACGGACUCCGAGCCUGCAGGGCUGCUUUACCUUGAAAUGAGCCGCAACUGUGAUCUGGUACACGUCUUUUGUGAGUGGGUGCAGCACAUCGCACAUUUGCAAUUUGGCCCAGGUGUGACAUCUUCUCAAGGGCGUCACCCAGGAAGACAUGGUCCUCAACCACCCUCUUCUAAUUUCUGCAACUGGAGAUACCGGAAGCUUUGAUGUAAGACACCUGGCUUCCAGUUUAGAACAGAUGACUUACGAAACCUGGGAGGCAUCAGCUGAUGUGACAAGUAAAGACAAAUCCUGGCACCAGACCCAAACACAGGAGGGAAUUCCUAGUUCCCCGUGAGGUGGACGGGAAGCAGGGAGGCAGCGGGCACUGUGUUUGAGGAGCUGAGGUUCUUUGAUGCCUUCCACCGCUCUGCUGCAUGGAGCCCAGCGCCACAGCUGCUAUCAACAGUGUUGAGGAAGGACCAGUUACCCAAAAGAGCACAGGAAAAAGCUGUUUCUGCAGACAAAGCCCUGGGCCUUUCCUGGGACCCCCAUCCGCCACAGGGCUGCACAUUUACAAAAGGGCUACAGCUUCCCAGAGGUUCAAGGAUUCCCUUCAUUUGCUCUUUCAGAGGGCAGGGAGAGUGGGGAAGGACUCCUGGCCACUGGCUGAAUGCCUGGCAUCGGCUUGGGACCCGUACAGCUCGGGAAAGCAAGACUCACCCGUGGGAAGAGAAAGCCAUGGUGGGUUUGGUCGAUACAGAGAGAGGCGGCAUUUCCUUUGCUCAGAUUAAGCAGCAAAUAAAUUAAAAUACAUGAAAACAGAAGGGCAGGGUGACACCACGCAAACUGCUGCAGGCCAAUCCAGGCCACCACUAAGCGGUUUACAGCCUGCAUUCUGUUCUGAGGGUGGCGAUGGUGGGGCAGGGCAGGGCAGGGCAGGGCAGGAGGCGCCACAGCUCAUCAGAACCCAGAGGCGAUGAGAAACAGCCUCAUGGCACCCUCUGGGGAGAGAGAUGGAUGGGCCAUGGCACAAGGGAGCACCUCACAGGCCACAGCCCUCGGGGCUCUGGGAGGCUCCUGAGUCCCUCCCAGACAGAGAUCACCAUGGACCAGGCCUUCCCUGUAUGGCCCACGUGGACACACUCAGGGUUCUUGGGCUUUCAUGGCAGAGCCAUUCCCUACAUGGAGCAUCCGUGAUCAGAUGCCAAUCAUAAACAAUUAGAGAUUGUACCUGGAAUAUAUACAGAAUGAUUCAAACUCAAAAAUAGAAAAGACAAGGCGGAAUUUCUCUAGAGACCUGCAAAUGGCCAACAAGCCCAGGAGAGGACGCAGAGCACCCUUAGUCACCAGGGAAAUGCGGGGUGACCCCGCCAAGUGGCAGAGCCAGUCACAAAGCCCCAGGCUGCUUGACUCCAUCCACGAGAAGCGUCCACACGGGCAAAUCUGCGGGCAACAGAAGGUGCAUUAGCAGCUGCCCAGGGCUGGGCUGGGGCAUGACGGGAGGGGAGCUGGGGACAGGGCUUGGGAGCACCUGGUACUGGGCACGGGGUUUCAUUUGAGGGUGAUGACAAGCACUUGGGAGGGCCUGGUACUGGGCAUGGGGUUUCAUUUGAGGGUGAUGAAAAUGUUUUAAAAUUAGAUUGUGGUGAUGUUGUGUAGCUUGGUAAAUAUAAUAAAACUCAUCAAAUUGUUUAAGUGGGUGAUUUUAUGAUAUGUAAGUUAUAUUUCAACAAAGCUCUCUUCCUACACACUCGCGACAGGCUGAGCACUGCUCACUGCCCUGCUUCCAGCCACAUGGCCCCACCGCAGCCGCUCCAGGUCAGCACCC